CUGCAGCCUCACUCGGGAAUGAUCGUCUGCAAAGGAAAAGGGACAGAAAAUAACGAUUAACAAAAGCAAUCUGAUGAUGUCCAAGCAGAUAACAGCAACCCCAGGAACAGACUCACUGGCAGUCAGAAUGUUUCCUCAUGGUGAUCUGCUUUAAGAACCAAUUUCCUAGGACACAUUUUGCUGCUUAAAA